UACGUAGGGUGCAAGCGUUGUUCGGAAUUAUUGGGCGUAAAGAGCUCGUAGGCGGUUUGUCGCGUCUGCUGUGAAAUCUGGGGCUCAACCCCCAGCCUGCAGUGGGUACGGGCAGACUAGAGUGCGGUAGGGGAGAUUGGAAUUCCUGGUGUAGCGGUGGAAUGCGCAGAUAUCAGGAGGAACACCGAUGGCGAAGGCAGAGUCUCUGGCCGUAACUGACGCUGAGGAGCGAAAGCAUGGGGAGCGAACAGG
rnacentral:rRNA from 1 species